rnacentral:lncRNA from 10 species
UCUGUUCCAAUAUUUGGACUUUGACCUCAGUUCCUGACACAGAUCUCCUAAAUCCUUGGCAAUUUCCUGGAUGAUAGGAUCAUCUUUUGUUCUAAUGAAGCAACUCUUGGUGGGCUCACAGAGAGUCUCAAGACAGGAGCUGGUUGCCAAGGAAACCAACCAUGCAAUAAGAGGAUUAGAAUAUUCAGCCCCACCCCAUGACUUCCAGAGACAGAGGAAAGGCUGAAGGUUGAGUUGAUUACCAGUAGCUCACGAUAUAAUCAUUCAUGCCUACAUAACACAGCUUUCAUAAGAACCCAAUAGGACAGGGUUCAAGGACCCUCUAAAGAAUGCCACACCUAUAGAGGCAUGGAAACUCUUUGCCACUUUCAUCUGACUAUUGAUCUAUAUCCUUUGUAAUGCCUCUUAUAAGAAAUGGGCAGAUUCUAGCAGUGUUUGUGAGAAAAACUGAUGGAUCCUGCAGAUUAACUAUGGACAGCCAAAUAUUGAGUAAAGUGAUGUCUACAACAGCAUCAGCUAUGCCUGAUAUGGUGUUAAUUCACAUUGUGAAGUUCCAAAAUCAGAAGAUGAUACAGAAAGAUUGCUCUGGUUGCCUGGUUUCUGAAGAAAUCGUGUACCCUGUCUGGAUAGUGUCUUACUUCCUAUCCACAAAGUUGUGAAAUAAUCUGGAAUUAAAUGGCAACCUAAACAACCCUAGAGUUGCCUGAACACAGAGCCAUUGCUGUGUUGAUCAUUAUAGCAGUCCUCAAUAGGAAAAAGAUGCCUCCCUGGUCGACCUUCCUGGAAAGUAUGCAUAUCAUUACUGCUUAGAUUUUGUUGGAGAGAAAUCACACUACCAUCAAAGACAACGGGUCAAAAAGAAUGCCGUCCUAAGCUGAGAAGCCAUCUUCCUAACGACAGCCAUGUAAUAUGAAAGGGAAAAACACACUGUUAUUGAAGAACUUAUCAGCUAUGUCACAUCUUCCACACAAAUACUCAGGAAAGUUAAAAGAAAAUUUUACCUCGGACACAGUUGAUGUACCUCAGUCUUGUACAAAACUUAGAACUCACUAAGUCUGAAAUAAGACUUUAAACUCUCUCUGAGGAUUGCUAAAGUCCUAUUGCAUGCUUUAAGAUGCCUUGCGUUUGGUGAAUUGAAGCCUGAUAUGUCAACAUACUCUCUGUAAACACAGCAGCACAGAGGGCAAAGAAACACUUAUCCAGCACCACAGCUAGGACAAAAGGAAUUAUUUUGACAGUAAAUGGACUUGCAGCUUAAGGUUGGUAUGUACCCAAUUGUGACUAAACCAAAAGAAACAAAUCUGGAAACUGAAGUAUCAAUACGUGAAAAGCGUUCUUUUGGUAUUGGGAGUGCCAGUUGUCUUUGUUUCAUGAACUACUUCUCCGUAAUAGCAUGCAGCCAUCUUCAAGAGGUAAAACAGCAUCCCCAGGAUAAACAGGAUUACUCAAAGUUAUUGAGAAGAAAUACAGGUUCUGGUGGACAAUUUCCAGUCUGGAGUCUGCAUUUGGAGAGAUUCUACAGCACAUGCAUGAAUGAAUGGAGUAUCUGCUGAGGAGACUGGAAUGAGGAAGGAAUUCAUUAAGUCUGAUUGUCUCUGAACAGCAAAGUUCCUGAGGUCAGUCUGAAGUGAAAUAAACUAUUCAAAAGCUUAAAAUACCCUGAAUAAGAAUAAAACAUGCCAGUAAUUAAAAUGAUUUGAGGAUUUUAUUCUAAAUACAUUUUAAAGAUCAAAGACUAAAUCUACCAACAGGCAAAGCAUGAAGACUAGAGUUCUGUGAAUUUAGCCUUUAGACUUAAUCUCUGAGGAAAAGAAAACCAAUCUCAGACAAAGACAUACGAAGCCAGGGAGAAUUGUUAGAUAUAUUAUCUCUAAUUCCAGUGGGGCUAUCCGUGUUAAAAAUUAGUAAGAGGGAAAAAAGUACAUGGUAAAAACUGCAGAAGGAAUAAAGAAAAAAAAAGCAUAAACAGUAUUAUUUGCUAACGUUGAAAGACACACAAACUCUUAAGAUUAGAAACUCUAAUAUCAAUACAAAUAAAUUUUACAUGUAAAAUACCAGAAUAAAAUAGAUAAUGCAGAACUAAUCAAGCUGAGAAAAGAAGCACAAUUACUGUAGAACCAAUACAUGAGUAAGAAAAAGUAUGUAAGAGUAGAAUUCACUUAUGUUGAUACCUAAAUAAAUCAACUGGAAGGGAGGAUUGGAUAAUCAUGAGAGAAGUCACAAGAAAUUUAGACAACAUCAUUAUCAGUAGAUAACUUUAUGUCUCACCUUCCUGUUUAAAACUUCAACCCUUCUAUCCACCCUGUACACUCAGCAGAAAACUUUUCCCAAUAUUUCAUUUAAAAAAUGGCAACAAUCAGAAGAGAGCACCUCUCCUUCCACUCUUAAGUGUACCAGUGCCCCUUUAUGUGACCACCUAUGUUCAGACAUUACUCACAAUACAAUAAAGAAAUGUCCCUGUUUUUGUCUAAGACCUUUCAUUUAUGAUCUAGAUGACAUGCCCUUCCAUUAGAUCAAUGAUUUGAACACUGAAAUUGUCCUCGCUCAUCCUGCAUCAUUAGAAGUUCUCUCUUGUUUCUAUCAUGUAUGGAGUUAUAGAAGAAAACACAUGUUAAAAAAAUUUUCCUUAAACAAGCAUCUCUCUCCAAUAACUUCCUAAUUCUCCCCAGUCCAUUGGAAAAGUAGUAAGCUAAGAGAGUCGCAUAUUUUUCUGUUACUGACUACUUCUCCACUGACACACUUUUCAAGUCAUUCCAUAUAGACUUUUAUUCCCACUUAGUUAAAGAAAGAGAAAUAACAAAGAACUUAGUGGGGUUGAUGGAUGUUAUUAUAACAUACAUUUAUACAACUAAUACUUAGAAGGUAUUUAUGUAUUGGACUAUGUCAUGAGAAUUUUUAGUAAGCUUGCUACUUGAUAAUACUCAAUUGGAAAAUAGAGAGAGCCAGAUUCUUAGGAGUACAAAUGAGAAAUGAAAAUCUGUAAUGGAUAUCUCUACUUGUAAUCUUUAUAGAUAUAAAAAAAGGAGUCACACAGCAUUCAGAAUAUUCGUAACCAGAUGCUUAUGAAUAGAGUUUAAUUUGUUGGUGCACCUUUCCCCUACCAUUCUUUCUAAGUACAAUUAAGCAGGUAGAAUUGAGGGAGUUUCUAUUUCCACUCAAACAUUUGAAAAAGAUGAAGUAAAG